UACGUGGAUUAGAACAAAACUUCUCCCACUUCAGAUGAGAUAAUAACCAAAUCCCUCUCAUGGCAGAGGAGUUAGUCAAUCCAACUUAAACACGAACAACGGUCGCCAGCUCGUUCACGCAUCGUUGGAAUCACUCCUAUAAAAACCAAUCUAAUUCCCCUGUUCGAUACAAAUCCGAGCCUCGGCAAACUUACCCAAUUCUGUAAAGAUUUGAUCUUUGAUUCCAGAGGGAAGAGAAAUUGAUCAGCGGCCAUGGGAAAGGAUGAAGGGAGCUUCAAGCUGGUGGGCUUCAAGAAUUUCGUCCGCCAGAAUCCCAUGAGCGACCGCUUCGCAGUGAAGAAAUUCCACCACAUCGAGUUCUGGUGCGGCGAUGCCACCAACACUUACAGGCGCUUCUCAUGGGGUCUCGGCAUGCAAUUGGUCGCAAAGUCCGACCAGACCACGGGCAACCAGACCUACUGCAGCUUCGCCAUUAAGUCCAAUGACCUGCAAUUCGUGUUCACGGCACCCUACUCUUCAAACAUCGACCAGAGCAAUUCGAAGCCGCCUCACCCGGCCUUCGAUGCGGAGGAUUCCCGGCGAUUCUUCGCCAAGCACGGCCUGGCUGUCCGAGCCGUGGGAAUCCUCGUUGAUGACGCUGCACAGGCCUUCGACAGAAGCGUGGAAGGAGGCGCGAUUGCAGUGCUGGAGCCCAGCGUUUUGGUCGAUGAGAGCAGCGGGGGAAAGGUGUGCAUAUCUGAGGUUAAGCUUUACGGAGAUGUAGUGCUGCGCUAUGUGAGUAAAAUUGGCUAUGAGGGCCCCUUUUUGCCCAAUUAUGAAGCUGUGCAGUCUGUGCCCCUGUCCUACGGACUCGUGAGACUGGACCAUGCUGUGGGCAAUGUUGAGGUGCUGGAGGACGCUAUCGCUCAUGUUGCAAAAUUUACGGGGUUUCAUCGCUUUGCGGAAUUUACAGCCGAGGACGUUGGGACUACCGAUAGCGGGCUCAAUUCCAUGGUGUUGGCAAACAAUAAUGAGAUGGUGUUGCUGCCGAUGAACGAGCCUGUGUAUGGGACGAAGAGGAAGUCUCAGAUUCAGACUUAUUUGGAGCAUAAUGAGGGCCCCGGGCUUCAGCAUCUUGCUAUUUUAUGCUUCGAUAUAUUCGCCACUCUCAAGGAGAUGCGCCUUAGGAGUGAGAUUGGAGGGUUUGAAUUUAUGCCCAAGCCUCCGCCUACUUAUUAUAAGAACUUGCGGAACAGGGUUCCCGAUGUGCUGACCGAGAAACAGAUGGAGGAGUGCGAGGAAUUGGGGAUUUUGGUUGAUAGGGACGAUCAAGGUGUGCUUCUGCAGAUUUUCACAAAACCCCUUGGGGAUAGGCCUACCAUAUUCAUUGAGAUAAUCCAACGCUUAGGCUGCAUGAUAACUGAUGAACAUGGGAAGGCCUAUCAAAAGGGUGGAUGUGGAGGAUUUGGCAAAGGCAACUUCUCUGAACUUUUCAAAUCCAUUGAGGAAUACGAAAAGACUCUUGAAGGGAGAACUCAGGCCUAGGCUUAAGCUAGGUAGGAGGCAGUCCCACAAUCAGAUCUUUCUUUGUGUUGGACGCCUAGUGAAUGUAUACAGUACAAAUUUCAGAAUUUAAAUCAAUAAAGCAGGACACAUGGAUUGAAUGCAAAUUAUUAAUGAAGCUUGAAAACUCUGUUGAUUGUUGACUAUGUUCCCUAAAUACUAUUGAAGUGAUUGGCAGACGUUGCUGGCUGGAACUCAAAUACUGAGGCUGCUAUUCUUUCAGAAAUUCGGGCUCACUACCUUGUAAGUUGUAAGCAUUGAUCUGUAUGCAAUUCUGAAGAGAUUUGGCAUGGACCAUCCAUUCUGUUUUGUAGAAGCCUUGUGGACUGUACACAUGAAAUAUCUAUUGCCAACUACAAAACUAUUCUAGAACUAAGCUGUAACAACGUUGUCUUGGCAGAUGUGUCCUUUACAAUGGAAUCGUGUCUUCUAAUUUGUUCCUUGCUAAUAUAAGUUUGCCUGAUUUUAAGAUA